UUGUUGCAGCAACAGGAGGAGUGAAUUAUAUACUGUAAGACAGCAUAUCAUACCAGAAAGAAAGAAAAAAGUCAGAAGCCCUUUGUGUUGUCCAGUGUCACAUUGUUUAACAACCCGUCACAAGAAUCGAGAGCAAAUACUGUACAGGAAUCUGUCUUCAUUUGAGCCACAAGUUCACCUACAUCUUGUAAAUCUCUCUGUUGAUUUGAAAUCAUCCUCGAGCCAUGACGCAAAAGUUGACAAAAGAAUUGUUAAUGCAGUUAAUGGCCAAGCUGUCCUCAACUGCAGUUUUCGGAUCAUUUCCACUGAGCUGUUUGUUAAUCGGACUGGAGGCUUUGAUGGAUGUGGAGUUUUAUUGUCCGUGCAGAAUCGGGUGGAAUCGUGAUCUUUCUAAUCUGAUCAUAACCGCUCCUGCUUUCUUUGCCUUUGUAUUAAUGUUCUUAUGGUUAAGACCCUGUGGUUGUAAAGUCAAGUGUUGUACAUGUGAUUGUGUUAAAAGUUUCCUGCACUGUCUGAUUCCACCUGUGGUGUGGUUCUUUCUUGUGCUAUAUGAUGGCAGCUAUUACACUUGUAGUCUAACAGACUGGGAUGGAGUGUAUGUUUAUGAUGAGGUGCUGGGAAAUAAAUGGUGUAAACCCACUGAUGGGAACGCAAGUAGAGAAAUCCAACUACGAAAUAAAACUCAAACUUUUGUUGAUUGGUCACAGCUUGCAGGUUAUAUUCUGCUCAUGGUCAUUUGCGCUUUGACAUUACUUGUUGUGUGGAUCUAUGACUGCUGCAAAAAUUGUAAAUGCUGUGGAAAUGAACAACAGAACAGUGAAGAAGAGGAGAUGAAUCCAAUAAGAAAUGACAUACAACCUCAAAUCACUCAUGUUAAAUGUUCAGUGAACGACAUUUCACUUGUUCUGAGUACAAAUGCUCAAAACGAUAGCUCUUAAAGUAUCUUUUAACUGUAGAUCUUUAUAUCAACCUGUUACGCGGGGUUAUUUCAAUGUGCACUUUUUUAUGUAGUAAACUGGAAUAUGGUCCACUUGUGUGGUAAAUUUAGUAACUAUAGAUUUACUUCUUUCAAUUAUAUCCACGUCUCUUUUUGUGGAAAGAGAUUUAUUUUCAUUGUUUGCCAUUUGGUCAGGUGGGAUGCUCAAAAAAAUAAUAAAAUUUGAAAAAACUGUAACAAGUACAUAUUUGACUGCAUAGUCUAUUAAAAUAAUAUAAAAAAGACGAUGUCUAAUCUGCUUGCAAAUGUAUAAUCUGACAAUACUGAAAAUGGCACAUACCAGUCUAUAGAAAAUCCUGCACUAAAAAUAUACUGUACACUUGAAGAGAAACCUCACAUGGGUAUUUGAACCAUCAAAUGUUGACAAAUGUGCUUUUACUGUAAUUGUAGUAUUCUUGUAUGAAAUUGUAAACUGUAGUAAACACUGUGUUAUAUUUACCAAAGUAAGGUUAAAUAACAUAGUAAAUAGUAUGUCCAACAGUAUGUAACAAUAACAAUUUUGUCAGGUACUUGCCUAUUUAUGUGAUGACCUGCAUUUGUGUUUUUUCAAUGAUAAUAACAGACAUUUUAUACAUUUUCAAUUAAAAUUUUCAUUAAAAAACUUGAAACCUCUGUAACAGCAGAGAAAUGUGCAAAACCACCCUAAAGCACACGUUUUAGCUCCUUUAUUUUUUAGGCUGUCGAAUAGACCAACUUCUCAGUCUCUGAUGACGACAGAUGUUUUUUAGAUUUGAUGUCUUGACAAGAGGGUUGGCAGUGUAUAACAACAGGAUGUGUGGUCUACCAAACUAUGCUACCUGCAAAUGUUUCUUUAAACAAAUGUUCACUCUGCAAGCAGAACUGCACACAUUCAACAGGACGCUUGUUCCAAUGUGAAAACAAAUUCAGAUUUUUGUUAGUAGACAUAGUAUAUCUCAUACCCGUUUAGUAAGCAAACAGUAACAGAUCAUCAGUGAUU